rnacentral:rRNA from 1 species
UGAACGCUGGCGGCAUGCUUUACACAUGCAAGUCGAACGGCAGCGCGGGGCAACCUGGCGGCGAGUGGCGAACGGGUGAGUAAUAUAUCGGAACGUACCCAAGAGUGGGGGAUAACGUAGCGAAAGUUACGCUAAUACCGCAUACGAUCUAAGGAUGAAAGUGGGGGAUUCGCAAGAACCUCAUGCUCCUGGAGCUGCCGAUAUCUGAUUAGCUAGUUGGUAGGGUAAAGGCCUACCAAGGCUACGAUCAGUAGCUGGUCUGAGAGGACGACCAGCCACACUGGAACUGAGACACGGUCCAGACUCCUACGGGAGGCAGCAGUGGGGAAUUUUGGACAAUGGGCGCAAGCCUGAUCCAGCAAUGCCGCGUGAGUGAAGAAGGCCUUCGGGUUGUAAAGCUCUUUUGUCAGGGAAGAAACGGUGGGAGCUAAUAUCUCCCGCUAAUGACGGUACCUGAAGAAUAAGCACCGGCUAACUAC